rnacentral:lncRNA from 1 species
CAACUCCUAAAACAUACCACACACCAAAAGAAAAAAGGAAAGACCUAUCUCAAUCAUACUUGUAUUGAUUCAUCUGACACAAGGUCAUUGAUGAAUCAAUUAGCCUUGAGACAUUAGAGAUUUUAUUGGCCCAAUGAGGGAAUGAGAAAGAAUAGGGAUGAAGAUGAAGAGGGAGGGGGAGAUAGAAACACAAAUUUAUCAUGAGAGGAAUUUCAUCAAAUCAAAA